UGCUAGCCCUGAGAUACACCACUCCCAGCUUCUGCUGAAGACAUGACUAUCGCACACAGUGAGGAUGUGCCAGAUAUAGAGUUAUUCUUCAGCCGCCUUUGAGAAACUACCAGGAAAUGAAAGAACUACAUUAGAGAUUCAUCCAAUGCAACUCCAUGAGCCAUUAAGAUGCACGCCAGCCACCAAGUGCUCCUGCUCAGGACAGCUCCAAAGCGGAAGAAGCCCACAGGACCGAGUGAAAUGUGACCUUAGAUCACGAAGUGUGAUGCGUGCUUAUAGCGUGGUGUCUUCUCUCCAUCAGCUUCACUCCAGAGUAACCUGUCAAGUAAAGACUGUUGCCAAGAAGCUUGCAGAGCCCACGGUGAAGGCUCUACCACUGUAUCUGCCACGUCACUUGCACUACCUGGCCCCAGGAUAGCUGUUUCUCCAUUACCCUCUCCACCAGCGAUGUAACAGCCUGGACAAAGCCCUGAUCGGAAAUGCAGUCUUUUGUGGAAGGGAAACAGGGUGAAGAUGGAUGGUGACAGAGUCAGAUGAUUGGAGCACUUUCUUUAAAUUGCAAGCCCUGGGCUGCUUUUGGUAAUCUAAGCUUGGAAAGUCUCUUUUCUAUCAAGUGGGAAAAACUGCUCAAAAAUGAGUGUAGCGUAGGUCCUAUAAAGAAACUUGCAGUGUCUGGAAAUGAAAUAGGAAACAUGAUGAAAGAAUUUUGUGUGUUACAAGGACGCUGAGAAGCUGUGGACCUCUGGCACUUCCACUUUGAUAACUUCUUCUGGGAGAGCCAAAUAAAU